rnacentral:tRNA from 1 species
GGGGUUGUAGCUCAGUGGUUGAGUGAGCGCUCGCCUGGCAUGCGUGAGGCACUGGGUUUGAUCCUCAGCACCA